rnacentral:rRNA from 1 species
GGGGAUCGAGCUACCUGCAGUCGACGGUAACAGGAAGCAGCUUGCUGCUUCGCUGACGAGUGGCGGACGGGUGAGUAAUGUCUGGGGAUCUGCCUGAUGGAGGGGGAUAACUACUGGAAACGGUAGCUAAUACCGCAUAACGUCGCAAGACCAAAGAGGGGGACCUUCGGGCCUCUUGCCAUCAGAUGAACCCAGAUGGGAUUAGCUAGUAGGUGGGGUAACGGCUCACCUAGGCGACGAUCCCUAGCUGGUCUGAGAGGAUGACCAGCCACACUGGAACUGAGACACGGUCCAGACUCCUACGGGAGGCAGCAGUGGGGAAUAUUGCACAAUGGGCGCAAGCCUGAUGCAGCCAUGCCGCGUGUAUGAAGAAGGCCUUCGGGUUGUAAAGUACUUUCAGCGAGGAGGAAGGUGGUGAGUUUAAUACGCUCAUCAAUUGACGUUACUCGCAGAAGAAGCACCGGCUAACUCCGUGCCAGCAGCCGCGGUAAUACGGAGGGUGCAAGCGUUAAUCGGAAUUACUGGGGCGUAAAGCGCACGCAGGCGGUCUGUCAAGUCGGAUGUGAAAUCCCCGGGUCUCAACCUGGGAACUGCUUCCGAAAAUGGGCAGGUCUUUGACUCUCGUAAAAGGGGGGGAAGAAUUCCAGGGUGUACCGGGGGAAAUGCCUAAAAAAUCUGGGAGGAAAAACCGGGGGCCAAGGGCGGGCCCCCCUGGACAAAAACUGACCCUCAGGUGGCAAAAGCCUGGGGGAGCAAACGGGAUUAAAUACCCUGGGAAUCCUCCCCCGUAAAAAAAGUUCAACUUGGAGGUUGUCCCCCUUAAGAAAUGGUUUCCGGAACUAACACGUUAAUUCGACC